GCAUUACCCCACAGGUCUCUCUGGGAGAGAGUGGAGUAUCUCAUCUGUAGAGCGGGCCCUGUGAGCAGCAGGAGCACCAGCCCUCGGUGGGCGCUUUCCGUCCCUUACCCCAGCAGUCCUGCGCUAUCCGCCAAACCCUGUGCAGGUUGUCCCCGCCUCUAUGAUGCCUCUGCCCAUGGGGUGUCCAGCUGCCCUCCAAAAUGUGCUUCAGGCAAGGCUGGCUUUAGAUUUAUCCAACUUUUGGGCUACGUGAGGCGUAUUGGGUAACCAGACGGGAACAGGGGUGAUCUUGGGGCUUUUCUGUGGAGGCACGAACUCAGCAGGCUAUGGUUGCUCAUCUCAUCGCUGCAGGACCAGAGAACGUGCUUGCCAGCUCUCACGUGGAAAAGCUCCUAUCAGUGAAUGUGCUCUGUUGCCUACAUGUUGCCUGUGUCUGCUGCACUGCUGAGAGGCACAGUGAGGGCAUUUCUUCAGUAAACGGUGGAGUGUCGUGGCCAUGAAUGCAACAGAACUGCUUUACUGAGAUUUAUUGCACCUCAGUCCUCAGAGAAGUAGGGGCUUACCCAGCCUGGAGGAGCAAGAAAGGACAAAGGAUGAUACGAGUGCUUCAGAGCCUUCAGCUGCGAGUGGCUGGCCAGUGAGGAUGUCCAGCCCGGAUGAUUUAAGAGAUUGCCUUGGGCACGGGGUAUAUUUUAGCAAUUGCUGUAGCUAACUAAUGCCUGGUGUUUUCCUCACUGUCUGUAUUCACUUCUACCUGUGAAGGUGCCCCCGGGACAUUAUAGUGUCUCUCGUGAUGGAAGCAGUGAAAUAAAUGCUUUGUGCCAUCUACUGGUGCCGGUGGGAGCUGCUCGGAGCCUGAGCUGUGACGGGCUCGAGUGUGCAGGGUGGGAGAAGGAGGAAACUCGCUGGAAAUAACGAGAAUGCCGUUUAGUAUUUCAUGUCUUGAAGUGCUAACUAAUGUUAAACACGUGCUGCUUAACUCGCGCAUUAACCCUUUUCCUACCCCUGCAGUCCCGACCGUGCCCUACAACUUUAUCCCUAUUUUUAUAGACUGAAAACAUUUUGGUUUGCAGGUAAAUGCUCAAAAAUAAUCACCUUUGCUUUUUUUUUUGUGACUGAUCGUUACACCUGGGAAAACAAACUGCAAUUCUGAAGAAAUCUAAAGUGCUGCAUGUGAGGCCUCACUGCCACCUCUCUUUUCAGCACAGGGCUGGUGUUCUGCAGCUCUGGGCAUGGAGUGACUUGACAUCCUGGGAGAAAAUGCUGUCCUGGUCAGGGGGGCUGCUCCCUGCAUUUAAACUGAGAGCUGCUUGACCCCCCAGAACACAGUGAAGAACAUUUCGGUGGAGUUACUGGAGGUGAUGGGCCUGACUCACCAUGACCGAAACUUGUGAGGAGUGAUCAUCUUGGUCAAAGUCAGUCACAACAGAGCUGUCCAGAUCUUCUUUGGGCAUAGGAGAGAUGAGAACCCCUCUGCUCAGGAGAGUGGGACGCAACAGAUACAAAUUUGAAGGGAUUUCUCCCUGCACUGUAUAAAUGUACUUCUGUUUGUUCCAUGCUCAGUACCCAUGCACUCCAUGCAGCAGGGAAGGAUUCCAUAAAAUCCAGACAGUUGGUGUGUGUGUUUCUUGUCAAGGCCAGUGGUAUGGGUGUGCCUUAUCCCAUGGCCUUUAUUGCAGGCACUGGGAACGUCUCAAGGCAAGAACAGGGUGUUUGGGAAGUGCUCGGCAUGUUAUGGAUCCUGCUGGGAAUAAUAAUAAUAAUAAUAAUAAUUAGGGGAAAAAAAAAGGAUUUCUACGUUUUUAGCAUGAUGCAAACUGUCAAAUCUGCUGUGGGAAGUGGUGAUCAAUUGAGUUGAAAUAUGCUUGCAUUCGGUGUGGCAUCUGAAAGUGUUAAACCUUAAAAAAGUUUUCAUGCUGCUGAAUUCUCCCUCCGGGGAAAGUCACUGGAAGGUUGGGACCUGUUGCUCAACACAGAAAGAAGCAGAGCACAAUAAAAUUUUGAGCAUCUUCCCCUCAGGCCUCAAGGUUCCAAGUCCUGUGAGAAGAUUGGGUUUUGCUGAAUAAAGGGGGUGAUAAUGUUGCAUUCCCUGCUCAGAAAGCAGCUGCUCGGGCUGGCAUUGGGAGAGGAAUCCAGAAUCCUGAGGAUCUUCUGGCUCCUCUUCUGCUCCACAAGACAUUUAGAGAAGCACCUUUUCUGCAGCAGUAAGGAUGACACGUGGGUGGAGCUGUGCUUCCAGGAAUGCUCUUGGAGCAUGUGGGAAGCUGGGCCUUGUUUUUCCCUCUUGCUUGUGGUCCCUGUGCCCACGUCCAUUGUCUCAGGUUAUGCCACCCAGCUGUAAAUGUUGCUGAUUGUUCACAUUACCCUGUGAAGCUUCAUUUUGGUCUUCUGCCUGACUGGGACUGCAGCAGAGUUCUGACACAGCUGGUUACAUCUCAGCCAGGCCAUGUGAAAUCCAAGAGCUUUGUUUACAGUCUUGGGUUCCAAAUAAUUCUGUGGUCUCCAGCAUCCUCAGAAGCCAAGGUCAUCUAGGAUCAUUUGGAUAAGAGGUGUGUGCUCGAGCCAGCCACAGGUGGAGAGAGCAGAAACAAACGCCUCAACGAAUCAGUGCAGAAAAUAUUCCAGAUCUGUGAGCGUUUUUGCCCAAGUGAGGAGCUGAGGAUUAAACUUCAGGAGCUGCCGGUGCUUUAAACAUUUCAAUGGCAAGGUCACAUCCAAGUGGCUUGUAGCCAAUAUCGCUUAUCCUGGCUUUUGUACUUGCCUCAGUCACAAAGGGGGAACACACACAUGCUGGAAGAAGCUUCUGUUGUUCUUGGUGGAAGUCGACUCCUCUUAGUGCGCUUGAAAAAUGCAACCCAGUGAGGCUUCCACCUGCCCAGUCCUCAAGGAAGUGUCAGCAGCCUCUGAUGGGAAGAGGCCUCCUAAUUCUGAGGGAGCCCUGUUUCCCUUUGCAGAGCCUGUUCCAGUGGGGGAUGUGUAUUUUUAAUUAUCUGCUGCCUUUAUUUGAAGAGGUUUGUCCCUGCACUGUACAAAUGUACUUCUAUUUGUUCCUUGGCCUAAAUUGCACCCGGAUCUUGGCAGCCAGACAGCUGGACAGAAAAUUACUGAUACAAUUUUAACACCUCGGUGUUUGACAGAGGAUAUUGCUGGCCUAAAGGAUGUAUUUUUUAAUUACAUUCAAAGAAAACUUCAAAACGCUUGUUUGUUUACUGCAAGCCAUAUUGCAAUAAGGACCUGCAGCUCCACUGGAACCUUCUUCUUGUCGCUUCUUCUGAGUACAAAGGUGUGCCAGUAAAGUGAGAUGGAUCAAAAAUCAAACUAUGGAGACCUUCCUGUUUCAAGUGCUUGGGACCAGCUUCCCCCUAGUGGUUGGGAUGCAUCUCUUGGUGGGCUUGAUCCAAAGCAAAUCCAGUUUGAAUUUUCCAGAGUACUCCGCGUGUGGGAGGCCUGUCUGCCCAGCAGCCUCGCUGUUAGACCCAUUCUUGGGAAGGAAACAGUGGAAGAAAGGAACAUUUAGAACCCUAAAACACUCUGGAUGUCUGGCAGCAAGACAAUAUUAAUUAUACAUGUAGCUGUGUGUGGAGAAACUCGAUAAAACUCUGCCAUUUCUCAAUGAUCCAGGAGAACAGCUUGUUCUGGAGAAGGCAUUUUCUAACUAUAGACAGAUUCCAGAGGUUUGAAGAUGCUUGUAAAUCAUCCCAGCAGGAACAUUGAGCAUCAUAGUCUUAAGAGCAUCCUCUUGGCCAGAAUAUUCCCCUACAGCUCUGGGAGAGAGGGAAGUUGGGAAGGAAUCCGAACGGAGAGACAAGAAGUGAAGAGCUACAGUCUCCAGUGGCCUCAGCUGAGGGGUCCAGAGAGCCCUGAGCGUGGAUGUUUGCUGCAGAUCUGGAGAAAGGCAGAUCUGUUCUGUGUCCCACACAGCUGCAGAGGGGAGGCUCUCGGCCUUUGGACAUGCUGAGUGCCGUGGCUGCCAAGAGCUUCAGAAUGGAAUCAGCACUGCGCUUGGGCAGAGCCAGGGAUGGGGAAAUGCAGAUGGGAUGUCAUUAACAUCGAUGUGCUGGCCAAGGAAGAGUUCUGUGUGUUGACAAGAUAAUGUACAGCUUUAAUAGAGCAAAUUUCUACAGUUGGCGGGGACUCUGACUUCCUUGUAGAGCAUACUCAGCUAUAACAUUUAUUUUCACUGUUUAAAAUGAGUCCUGAGGAAGAGGUGGGUGAGAGCCGGUUCCCUGUUUCCACCAAAACACAACUUCUCCAACAAGGACCCGACCUCCCACCUCACUUUUUGAAAUCAUUGCCCAGACUCCUGAUGCUGAGCAGGAAACAUUUCGGCUGUUUUUCAAAAUUAACCUUUAUCAGGUGGUGUCACUCCCCCUUCCCAGGGCAGAGGGAAUUAAUUAAAUGAAUUAAAUAAAUUGGAGGACUCAAGAGCCUGUCUGGGAAGGGAUUCUGGAUGGAGAGAAGGAGCAAACCCAGAGGACCAACACUAAAUGCAGCCAGAUGUUCUUCUGAAAUGGAAGAGUUAAAAAUCCAAGCUCAAAAGGACAAAGAAAGGGGAAAAAAUGAGAAAUCUUGAUUCUGAGGAAUGAGAAGCUGCUUAUCAGAGGAACUGUGGAUGCGUGAUGCCAGAGUGGGGCAGUUUUCUCUCCAGUUCCUGUGCUUCCUCUGAGAAUUUGUUGCGGUCUGGAAUGUUUUCCUGAGAUGAUUUCUACUAUUUCUGCAAGUUCUGUAGAGUGACUGGGUGCUCAGAAGGACUUUUUGAUCUGGACUCUACAAACCUUGGACCCUGUCCAACAAAAAAGUGGGAUUGGCAUGGAGCACACGUUAAAAAGCACAGCAAGUUAACCUGAGAACCAGGUACACCUACAAGUGUGGACAGCUGUGACUGAAAUCGUCUGAAUAACGUGGUACUUGGAAUUCCUAUUGAAGAAAGAAGCAAAAUUGAGUUUUGCUGGAGUAUGCAAGGACUUCUUUUUUUUUUUUUUCCCUAAAGCCAGG